GAGAACAAAGUAUAAUUAUUACGUUUCAGUUACAUUGAAAAGAUCCAUAAAAUUGGUGUUCUUA
rnacentral:tRNA from 1 species